rnacentral:lncRNA from 1 species
UUGUUUUAUAUAGUAUAAAGAAUUUUCUAUCAAAAUUUCACGUGAUUUGGAUAUUUCUACACCGUUAAACUUGCAAACGGCUCACUACGGCCAUUGAAAUUUGUUGAUUUUGAGCCCAUUCGAUCACUAGGCAAAUGAUAUCGAAAAAUAAUAAAAUUUAUUUUCUAGGUACUCCAAAUACUCUAGAUCAAGUUUAACGGAGCCGAUCGACGAUUCGAAAGUCGCAACAUCGAAAACGAGCUGGAAGCACGGAAGGCUCCGUGCUUCCGAUAGAGUAUUUGGGGUACCUAGAAAAUAAAUUUUAUGAUUUUAUGAUAUCAUUUGCCUAGUGGACGAAGGGGCUCAAAAUCAACGGCUGAAAAUAAAAAUCUUAUAAAAUGUAAUAAUAUGACAUUAAAAUUUUAAAUCAAAGAUAUUGAUCUUGUUUUAUAUAGUAUAAAGAAUUUUCUAUCAAAAUUUCACGUGAUUUGGAUAUUUCUACACCGUUAAACUUGCAAGCGGCUCACUAUAGUCAUUGAAAUUUGUUGAUUUUGAGCCCUUUCGUUCACUAGGCAAAUAAUAUCGAAAAAUAAUAAAAUUUAUUUUCUCGGUACUCCAAAUACUCUAGAUCAAGUUUAACGGAGCCGAUCGACGAUUCGAAAGUUCUAUAUAUAUAUAUAUAUAUAUCUAUAUAUAUAUAUAUAGAGCCCGGCUACUAUACUAUCGGUAGCACGGAGACUUCCGUGCUACCAAGUUAUUUUUGAUGAUGCGGCUUCCAAAUCGACAAUUGGCUUCGUUAGACUUGAUCUACACUAUUGAAAGUAUUUGGAAACUAAAUUUCAGAAUUUUUCGACAUCAUUUGGCUAGUAAUCAAAAGGUCUCAAAAUUGACAAUUUUAAUGGUAGAUGUGAUACAUUUGUAAAUUUAACGGUGUAAAACAAUCCAAAUCAGAUGAAAUUUUUAUAGAAAAUUCUUUUUACUAUUUAGAGUAAGAUCAGUAUCUCUGAUUUUAAAUUCAAGUCUUCUAUCAUCAUUUUUUAUGAAAUUUUUAUUUUCAGCCGUUCAUUUUUAGACUACUCGUUUGAUAGGUAAGUGAUACCGAAAAAUUAUGAAAUUUAGUUUCCAAAUACUUUCAAUAGUGUAGAUCAAGUCUAACGGAGCCGAUCGUCGAUUUGGAAGCGGCAUCAUUGAAAACAAUUUGGUAGCACGGAGGCGUUCGUGCUACCGAUAGUAUAGCAGCCUAGUUCUAUAUAUAUAUAUAUAUAUAUANAUGAAAAGAUGUGCAGUUACGAUGAUACCGUUCCCCUUGGGUUGAGUGGAUGGUUGAUUUAAUAGUAUAAUCUAACGGGUGGAAACGAUCAAAGAGUAGAUUUAACGGUAGAAAACUCAAUAGUACUAAGGGCUUGGUACUAUCGAUAGUAUAGUAGCCGGACUCAUAUAGAAUUAUAUAUUUAUUACAAUUCAUG